rnacentral:rRNA from 1 species
CUUUAUAUUUUUAUUUUAUUUUGAAAAAUUAAUUUAAUUGUAAAAUUAAAAUAAUUUAAUUGGUUGGGGCGACAGAUGAAUAAAUAAUGUAACUUUAUAUUUUUUAAAACACUUUACAUGAAAUUAUUAACCGAUCUUUAAUAAAGAUUGAAAAAAUAGUU